rnacentral:rRNA from 1 species
CCUACGGUAGGCAGCAGUGAGGAAUAUUGGUCAAUGGACGUAAGUCUGAACCAGCCAAGUCGCGUGCAGGAUGAAGGUUCUAUGGGUCGUAAACCGCUUUUAUACGGGGAUAAAGUCCGAUACGUGUCCCUUUUUGUAUGUACCUUAUGAAUAAGGAUCGGCUAACUCCGUGCCAGCAGCCGCGGUAAUACGGAGGAUCCGAGCGUUAUCCGGAUUUAUUGGGUUUAAAGGGUGCGUAGGCGGUCGGUUAAGUAAGCGGUGAAAUCCUGUGGCUCAACCACGGAAUUGCCUCUGAUACUGGGAGGCUGGAGAAUGUUUGCGGUAGGCGGAAUGUGUGGUGUAGCGGUGAAAUGCUUAGAUAUCAUGCAGAACACCGAUUGCGAAGGCAGCUUGCCAAGCCAUGACUGACGUUGAGGCACGAAAGCGUGGGGAUCAAACAGGAUUAGAUACCCUAGUAGUC